rnacentral:rRNA from 1 species
CGAUCACUGAAGCUUAAAGAUUGAACGCUGGCGGGAUGCUACACAUGCAAGUCAGACGGCCGCCUGGACUUCGGUCUGAGUGGCAUUGGCAGAACGAUUUCGAUGUUAUGUCGGGCUUGUUCCUGCCUAAUGCUGGGGAUAACUCUGCUGGCGCAAAGCUCAAUACCGCUAUAACACACUUCAAGGGAAAGCGGGGGGACCUUCGGGCCUCGCACUAUUAGAGCGGCCGAUAUCAGUUAAGCUAGUUGGUGGGGUAACGGCUCACCAAGGCGGCCUGAUCCAUGCUUUGGUUUGAAGGACAUUAAUACCCACCGGACCGAAGUUUGGCUGGAAGAAAGCUCUCUUUGCAGGCGGUAGCGGUGAAGUUACCGGACCGUGAAGCCUGGUCAAGCGCAUCCGCGUAUUCAUUCAGAAGGCCGCUGGUUUGUAAAGCACUUUUGGCAAGGAAAAACUGGCACAGGAUAUGCCCAGUGCAGCUGGCUGGUACCUGCAGAAUAACAUUCGCUUUACGUGCCAGCAACCGCGGUAAUACGUAGGGUGCAAGCGUUAAUCGAAUUACUGGGCAUCAAAGCAGUACUGCGAGCGGUUCAGAAAAAUUCAUGGGAAAUCAGAGCUUGCUUUGGAACUGCAUUUUUAACUACCGAGCUAGAGUGUGUCAGAGGAGGUGGAAUUCCGCGUGUAAGCAGUGAAAUGCGUAGAUAUGCGGAGGAACACCGAUGGCGAAGAGGCAGCCUCCUGGGAUAACACUGGCGCUCAUGCACGAAAGCGAUGGGAGCAAACAGGAUUAGAUACCCUGGUAGUCCACGCCCUAAACGAUGUCAACUAGCUCUUUGGGGCGCGCUGCGCCGGUACGCGCAGCUAACGCGUGAGAUUGACCGCGGGAAAUACGGUCGCAAGAUUAAAACUCAAAGGAAUUGACAGGGACCCGCACAAGCGGUGGAUGAUCAUCAAGUUAAUUCGAUGCAACGCGAAAAACCUUACCUACCCUUGACAUGUCUGGAAUCCCGAAGAGAUUUGGGAGUGCUCAUAAAGAGAAACCGGAACACAGGAAUUACCGCGCACGUAAGCGCUCGAUAAUCGUGUCGUGAAGAUGUUGAGUUAGUCCGCAACGGCUUUCAGCUGCCAUCCGCUGGUUUCUUUACGAAGGGCACUCUAAUGAGACUGCCGGUGACAAACCGGAGGAAGGUGGGGAUGACGUCAAGUCCUCAUGGCCCUUAUGGUGGGGCUUCACGUCAUACAAUGGUCGGGACAGAGGGUCGCCAACCCGCGAGGAAUGCGUCGAAGCUGAAGGUCGCUGGUCAAGGAUCUGCAGUCUUCACCCAGCUCCGGCUGCAUUAAAGUCAGAAUCUGCUAAGUAAUAUCACUGGCGGAUCAGCAUAUCCAGGUGAAUACGGUCCCGGGUCUUGUACCACACCGCCCGUCACACCAUGGGAAUUGGGUUUUGCAAGAAGUAGUUAGCCUAACCGUAUGGAGGGCGAUUACCGCAGUAGGAUUCAUGAUUGGGGUGCAGUCGUAACUAAGGUAA